GGACGCGUAGCUCAGCGGUAGAGCAAACGGCUGAUAACCGUUAGGUCACAAGUUCAAAUCUUGUCGGGUCCA
rnacentral:tRNA from 1 species